rnacentral:rRNA from 1 species
CCUACGGGAGGCAGCAGUUUCGAAUCAUUCACAAUGGGCGAAAGCCUGAUGGUGCGACGCCGCGUGAGGGAUGAAGGCCUUCGGGUCGUAAACCUCUGUCACUGGGGAAGAAACGCUUCAAGUUAAUAGCUUGAAGCCUGACUUAACCCGGAGAGGAAGCAGUGGCUAACUCUGUGCCAGCAGCCGCGGUAAUACAGAGACUGCAAGCGUUAUUCGGAUUCACUGGGCGUAAAGGGUGCGCAGGCGGCUAAGUGUGUGAGGCGUGAAAGCCCGGGGCUUAACCCCGGGAAUUGCACCUCAAACUACUUAGCUAGAGCAUUGGAGAGGGUAGCAGAAUUCAUGGUGUAGCAGUGAAAUGCGUAGAUAUCAUGAGGAAUACCAGAGGCGAAGGCGGUUACCUGGACAAUUGCUGACGCUCAGGCACGAAAGCGUGGGGAGCAAAGGGAUUAGAUACCCCUGUAGUCCACGCCCUAAACGGUGCACACUAGGUCUUGGCGGAUUCGACCCCGCCAGGGCCCAAGCUAACGCGUUAAGUGUGCCGCCUGAGGACUACGGCCGCAAGGCUAAAACGUCAAAUGAAUUGACGG